rnacentral:tRNA from 1 species
GCGGGCGUGACAGAUUGGUAAUGUACCUGGCUUCCACCCAGUCGAUCCGAGUUCGAUUCUCGGCGCCCGCUCCA